rnacentral:rRNA from 1 species
UACGGAGGGUGCAAGCGUUAUCCGGAUUCACUGGGUUUAAAGGGUGUGUAGGCGGGGAUUUAAGUCAGUGGUGAAAUCUCCAGGCUCAACCUGGAAACUGCCAUUGAUACUAUUUAUCUUGAAUCUUGUUGAGGUGGGCGGAAUAUAUCAUGUAGCGGUGAAAUGCUUAGAUAUGAUAUAGAACACCGAUUGCGAAGGCAGCUCACUAAACAAGCAUUGACGCUGAGGCACGAAAGCGUGGGGAUCAAACAGG